rnacentral:rRNA from 1 species
UACGGGGGGGGCAAGCGUUGUUCGGAAUUACUGGGCGUAAAGGGCCAGUAGGCGGCCAACUAAGUCCGACGUGAAAUCCCCAGGCUUAACCUGGGAACUGCGUCGGAUACUGGAUGGCUUGAAUUCGGGAGAGGGAUGCAGAAUUCCAGGUGUAGCGGUGAAAUGCGUAGAUAUCGGUAGGAACACCAGUGGCGAAGGCGGUCUCCUGGGGCAUUCUUGACGCUGAGGCGCGAAAGCUGGGGGAGCGAACGGG